AGGACUUUAAGCAGUAAAUAUCAUUUUAAAACUGAAUUGAGUCAGUAAAGUCGGGAAGCUGAUUAUGCUAAGAAAUAUUGUAUAUUGGUCUAUUGAAUGGGGAAACCAGCAUGUACCUAUUUGCACAUGGAUAACUAUUCUUCGUGACGAUAUCCGGGACCGGAGAUCGGUUUUUAAAACGCUUGAAAGAUUCAGAUGAAUGAUGCAAAGAAGACGCCGGUAGCCAACUGACAACAACUUGAACAAGUACUUGUUUCUGUUUAUUUAACGAGACAAACACAAUCAAGGAGCUAUGAACGCAUAGAUACUCGCGAAAAUAAUACAGAAUUAGCUCCUCAGAUGUCAGUGGAAUAAAAGUAAAACACAUCAUAUGUUUCAAUGAAAUUAACAUGAUUAAUGAUGGGAUAAGACGUAGAGAAGAUCCUAUAGCUACAGUACAUGUACAUGUAACUGCAAAUGUAUUCCAAGAGUUUAUGGCUGAUUAUGCAACUACAGGAUUUUAUCAUUGAAGCAACAUCUUAGAAGGAUAAGUGCAAAUGUAUGAAGGAAGCCUUGUGUACAAAUACAUGUAGCAAUUACAUGCAGGAGAGAACAUUUAAACAUUACUAACAUGUAGUCAUGAUAUUGGAGUGGUGCAUUCUAGAAAUCUAAACACCUGGAAUUAAAUAUUGUGUAUAUUUUUUUUCAACCACAAGUACUUUCAGCAUAUAAUACAAUUCAUAUUCAAAUUAUUGUGUCAACAUGACAGUUACUGUCUAAAAAUGGAAAAUGCUUGUUUUAAAAUGAAUUUUAUAUAAAUAUUUUAAAUAACAAGAAUUUUUAGCUUAUUGUGCAGCCAAACUUUGAGAUCUUUUAAUGGUAUAUGCCUGUUGUUUGUCAACAUUUAUUUUCUUUUUGACUUAGCCUUAAGCUCAGUGUUAAUAUGAAAAACUGAAAACCAUAUAUGAAAUAAGAAGGAAAUGGUUGUAAAUAACAGCAAGACUUUCAAUAUGGUAUAUCAAAUAUAUUUCACAGAA